rnacentral:rRNA from 1 species
UGCUUCCUCGCCGGCGAGCGGCGGACGGGUGAGUAAUGUCUGGGGAUCUGCCCGAUGGAGGGGGAUAACCACUGGAAACGGUGGCUAAUACCGCAUAACGUCGCAAGACCAAAGUGGGGGACCUUCGGGCCUCACACCAUCGGAUGAACCCAGAUGGGAUUAGCUAGUAGGUGGGGUAAUGGCUCACCUAGGCGACGAUCCCUAGCUGGUCUGAGAGGAUGACCAGCCACACUGGAACUGAGACACGGUCCAGACUCCUACGGGAGGCAGCAGUGGGGAAUAUUGCACAAUGGGCGCAAGCCUGAUGCAGCCAUGCCGCGUGUGUGAAGAAGGCCUUCGGGUUGUAAAGCACUUUCAGCGAGGAGGAAGGUGGUGAGCUUAAUACGCUCAUCAAUUGACGUUACUCGCAGAAGAAGCACCGGCUAACUCCGUGCCAGCAGCCGCGGUAAUACGGAGGGUGCAAGCGUUAAUCGGAAUUACUGGGCGUAAAGCGCACGCAGGCGGUUUGUUAAGUCAGAUGUG